rnacentral:rRNA from 1 species
UACGUAGGGUGCAGGCGUUAAUCGGAAUUACUGGGCGUAAAGCGUGCGCAGGCGGCUUCCUAAGUCAGAUGUGAAAUCCCCGGGCUCAACCUGGGAACUGCGUUUGAAACUGGGAGGCUAGAGUGCGGCAGAGGGGGGUGGAAUUCCACGUGUAGCAGUGAAAUGCGUAGAUAUGUGGAGGAACACCGAUGGCGAAGGCAGCCCCCUGGGUCAAGAUUGACGCUCAUGCACGAAAGCGCGGGGAGCAAACAGG